rnacentral:sRNA from 1 species
UAGCUCAGUUGGUAGAGCAGUUGACUUUUAAUCAAUUGGUCGCAGGUUCGAAUCCUGCACGACCCACCAAUCGCUAAGGUAGAACGCGAUUGCAAAACGUGAAGGAUAACGUUGCGUAAGCAACGGCCCGUAGGGCGAGGCAAAGCCGAGUCAUCCUGCACGACCCACCA